AGCGGUGAUGAUUAUAGAAAUCUAAAUCUCGUUAAUUUGAUUCAUAAAUAUGAGGAUGAAAUUUUUCAUCCAUUCUUAAACAUUUUCUGAGC
rfam:Gossypium arboreum cultivar AKA8401 contig_17041_1, whole genome shotgun sequence.